UUGAAUAUGAAUAACUAUUGCAGACAAUUGUUUUCAGCUAUUUCAGAUGGGAAAGAAUAAGGACAUAGGUUUUAAGGAGAGUUAAUGCAGGUUGCUGUUUGAACAACUGGAGAAGGAUAACAUGGACAGAGAGAAGGGGGAACUAAAGGAGUUAUGCAGGCCAGCAGAGGAAGAAAUGAUCCCUUUUCUGCUUGCACAGGAGGAAGAAAUUUAUGACCCUCAUCCUUUUAAAUGAUAGCCUGAACGCUGGGCUGUAGAAUCAAAUUUAUAACUCAUUUUGAAAAUCUUUGUUUUGGUUUCACCUAUUACCUAAAGGAAAAAAAAAACACAUGGUGCUUUUUGUUCAUGUAUUUAAAACAGAACAUACAGUGGUCCAUUUGAGGGUUUUUUUGCCAGAGAAUUUGGCACUGUUGAGAAAACAAGAGCUUUGAAAAUCCAGGCAAACAUGACUUAACUUUUCAGCAGCUUCUGGAUCUCACUGGCAUCGAAUCUAUGGAUCAGUGUCGCCAUACCUUGGAACAGCAUAACUGGAACAUAGAGGCUGCUGUACAGGACAGAUUGAAUGAGCAAGAGGGUGUACCUAGUGUUUUCAACCCACCUCCAUCACGACCCCUGCAGGUUAAUACAGCUGACCACAGGAUCUACAGCUAUGUUGUCUCAAGACCUCAACCAAGGGGGCUGCUUGGAUGGGGUUAUUACUUGAUAAUGCUUCCAUUCCGGUUUACCUAUUACACGAUACUUGAUAUAUUUAG
rnacentral:sRNA from 1 species